rnacentral:piRNA from 1 species
UACUAAGGUUGUUCUGGCCAUUGCUAGC